rnacentral:rRNA from 1 species
GACGAACGCUGGCGGCGUGCUUAACACAUGCAAGUCGAACGGAAAGGCCCCCUUGUGGGGUACUCGAGUGGCGAACGGGUGCGUAACACGUGAGUAACCUACCCUUGACUUUGGGAUAACUUCAGGAAACUGGGGCUAAUACCGGAUAGGAGCUCCUGCUGCAUGGUGGGGGUUGGAAAGUUUCGGCGGUUGGGGAUGGACUCGCGGCUUAUCAGCUUGUUGGUGGGGUAGUGGCUCACCAAGGCUUUGACGGGUAGCCGGCCUGAGAGGGUGACCGGCCACAUUGGGACUGAGAUACGGCCCAGACUCCUACGGGAGGCAGCAGUGGGGAAUAUUGCACAAUGGGCGGAAGCCUGAUGCAGCAACGCCGCGUGCGGGAUGACGGCCUUCGGGUUGUAAACCGCUUUCGCCUGUGACGAAGCGUGAGUGACGGUAAUGGGUAAAGAGGCACCGGCUAACUACGUG